rnacentral:rRNA from 1 species
CCUACGGGGGGCAGCAGUCGGGAAUAUUGCGCAAUGGAGGAAACUCUGACGCAGUGACGCCGCGUAUAGGAAGAAGGUUUUCGGAUUGUAAACUAUUGUCGUUAGGGAAGAUACAAGACAGUACCUAAGGAGGAAGCCCCGGCUAACUAUGUGCCAGCAGCCGCGGUAAUACAUAGGGGGCAAGCGUUAUCCGGAUUUACUGGGUGUAAAGGGCGUGUAGGCGGGAAAGCAAGUCAGAUGUGAAAACCAUGGGCUCAACCUGUGGCCUGCAUUUGAAACUGUUUUUCUUGAGUACUGGAGAGGCA